UAGGGAAUCUUGCGCAAUGGGCGAAAGCCUGACGCAGCCAUGCCGCGUGAAUGAUGAAGGUCUUAGGAUUGUAAAAUUCUUUCACCGGGGAAGAUAAUGACGGUACCCGGAGAAGAAGCCCCGGCUAACUUCGUGCCAGCAGCCGCGGUAAUACGAAGGGGGCUAGCGUUGCUCGGAAUUACUGGGCGUAAAGGGCGCGUAGGCGGACAUUUAAGUCGGGGGUGAAAGCCCAGGGCUCAACCCUGGAAUUGCCUUCGAUACUGGAUGUCUUGAGUUCGGGAGAGGUGAGUGGAAUGCCGAGUGUAGAGGUGAAAUUCGUAGAUAUUCGGCGGAACACCAGUGGCGAAGGCGACUCACUGGCCCGAUACUGACGCUGAGGCGCGAAAGCGUGGGGAGCAAACAGGAUUAGAUACCCCUGUAGUCC
rnacentral:rRNA from 1 species